CUGUAAAGUAGGCUAGAGCUCCUUGUCGGCCAGUUCAAGUUCUUAUUUCAUCCUAUUCCAGUUCAAGUUCUUAUUUCAUCUUAUAUAGAAGAGCAGUGCACAAGUAAGGAUCAUACUCCGUUUGAAGAGCAGGUGGGUAAUCAGGUCAAUCAGGUGAACAAGCUAUGUCUUUACUCAAAUAAUCUAUCCUAGGACCAGGUGAGUAAGUCAAGUAUCUAGUUCCGAUGAAGAAAGGACUUUGCCAGGUAACUCACUGACGCUAGAAAUUGAGACGGAAUCGCUGAGUAGGCAUUCUCUUUGGCUUCGUAUUCUGAUCCAGUAAAUAGCGUUAGCGAUGCGUGCCUCUCUGUCUGUCCUAAUAGUUAGGUUAGUUAAGCGUUCGACUGCCUCAAUUCUCUUCCUAAGAUGGAUAUUAGCUUGCGCCAUUGUGCGUGCUUACGGUUUAGUAUACUCUACAGUUACUGACCCUAUCUUGCCUAUUACCCCCUUGCCUUACCCUCCCGAAAUGCUCUUAUGAUGCAUAUGAACCUAACAUCUUAGACGCCGUGGCCGCCCUUGCUAUAUGGCUAACAUAACUCGUAUUCAAUACUUAUUGCAUCAAAGGCAAUACUUUAUGAUUGGAUUUUUCCGACCUAACCUAGAACUCGCAAUUCUUUCUGCAGAGCUAAUGAUUCCACCUACAUCUUCUUUAGCCCCUGAUUCAAUAUCUCUAUAGGAUUUCCGUCAAGCACCCGAAGAUCAAUCAAUUGAACUGACAACAGCAGAAGAAGCACGGACUCUACUGGGCUAGAUCCAAUCUACUAUACAAGCCUAAGAUUUCCACCCUUAACAGCUAGGUGGUAUUCCUUAUACAAUGCCAG
rnacentral:lncRNA from 1 species